AUCAUGCAGGGCUCAUGUUUGUUUAUUUUGGAAAAUUACAGAUGGUAACCUAACGUUAAUCUGCAAAACUGAUAGCUUAUACUAUUCAGUUUCUUUUAAUCGUACGGUGGAGAGAGAAAAUGCUUUUUGUGCUUCGACAGCAUGUCAUUCUACGUUACAUGAAUCAAAUAUUACUCAAAACAAAACAACACAAGAGACAGUUCUUACAAUACAGAUGGCUAAAAAAUUAAAUGGAUGGUAGUCAUGCAAAUACGGAGAAACAAAUGGGAAAGCAGAUAUCGAAAUAACCCUUGUUGAAACAUUAUUUCCCAAUAUCAACAAUACCAACAAAUACAUCCCAGGAUGUGAUGGUCUUUGUUAAAGAAGCAUUAACUUAAUGAUGGUACGACAUACACAAUGCGAAGUUCAAAUAGUGUCUAAAAAGAUUUUGUAAUUAUUUCAAAACUUCAUUCGAUAAAGUUCAUGAGAGGAAUUUCAAAUUCGUCUAAAAACUAAAUGAAAAUAAGAAAUAUAAUUGUAUGUUAGGAAAUAAAAAAAAAACAGUUUGUUUUAAUGUAAAACAAAAUAAAAAUUGCUCAGUAUUGUUAAUUUUUGGAUAUUGUUAAAAACAAAUGUUGAAUGGUUAACAUUAUCUGGUAAUUCUUAAUAUAUUUUUCGACAAUACGUGAACAAAUAUUUAAGAGGAUACAAUAAAAUGUUUUUUUUUUUGUUUUUUUGUUUUUUUUUUUUUUUUUUGGUUUUUUUUUU